UACGUAGGUGGCAAGCGUUGUCCGGAUUUACUGGGCGUAAAGCGCGCGUAGGUGGUUUGUUAAGUUGAAUGUGAAAUCCCCGGGCUCAACCUGGGAACUGCAUGCAAAACUGGCAAGCUAGAGUAUGGUAGAGGGUGGUGGAAUUUCCUGUGUAGCGGUGAAAUGCGCAGAUAUCGGGAGGAACACCGAUGGCGAAGGCAGGUCUCUGGGCAUUAACUGACGCUGAGGAGCGAAAGCAUGGGGAGCGAACAGG
rnacentral:rRNA from 1 species